rnacentral:lncRNA from 1 species
CUCCGCUCCGAUGCCGCCAAGUUCUCCCUUCUCCCUGCCGAAGUCUUUGAGCCGCUCCGCCGAGGAACUAAUCAGAUCGCCCAAAAUAAGUGUAAUGAGCGGAUGAGAAAUCUCAUUGUCGCCAUCUCCGACCGAAGCCGCCAAAAGCCGCUCAUCGAUGCCGUGAUGGUGAAAAAGUCACUCCAUCUACCCAGCACCCGAUGACGAAACAUUCUCAAAAAAAUCUCGUCUUCACCACUGGAUCUGGAGAUCUCGGUGUCGUUGCCGUUGCCGC